rnacentral:rRNA from 1 species
GAUGAACGCUGGCGGCGUGCCUAAUACAUGCAAGUCGAGCGAACGGACGAGAAGCUUGCUUCUCUGAUGUUAGCGGCGGACGGGUGAGUAACACGUGGAUAACCUACCUAUAAGACUGGGAUAAUUUCGGGAAACCGGAGCUAAUACCGGAUAAUAUUUUGAACCGCAGGGUUCAAAAGUGAAAGACGGCUUUGCUGUCACUAAUAGAUGGAUCCGCGCUGCAUUAGCUAGUUGGUAAGGUAACGGCUUACCAAGGCAACGAUGCAUAGCCGACCUGAGAGGGUGAUCGGCCACACUGGAACUGAGACACGGUCCAGACUCCUACGGGAGGCAGCAGUAGGGAAUCUUCCGCAAUGGGCGAAAGCCUGACGGAGCAACGCCGCGUGAGUGAUGAAGGUCUUCGGAUCGUAAAACUCUGUUAUUAGGGAAGAACAUAUGUGUAAGUAACUGUGCACAUCUUGACGGUACCUAAUCAGAAAGCCACGGCUAACUACGUG